rnacentral:rRNA from 1 species
UAAGGAAUAUUGCUCAAUGGGAGAAAUCCUGAAGCAGCAACGCCGCGUGGAGGAUGAAGGGUCUAUGACUUGUAAACUCCUGUAAAGAAGGAAAAAAUUCCCAUUUGAUGGGAGAUGAUGGUACUUCUGGAGUAAGCCCCGGCUAACUACGUGCCAGCAGCCGCGGUAAUACGUAGGGGGCAAGCGUUGUCCGGAUUUACUGGGUGUAAAGGGUGCUCAGGCGGAUUUGUAAGUCAGAGGUGAAAUCUUACAGCUUAACUGUGAAACUGCCUUUGAUACUGCAAGCCUAGAGUAUGGAAGAGAGUGAUGGAAUAUCUGGUGUAGCAGUGAAAUGCGUAGAUAUCAGAUAGAACACCAAUAGCGAAGGCAGUCACUUGGUCCAUUACUGACGCUAAAGCACGAAAGCGUGGGUAGCAAACA